rnacentral:rRNA from 1 species
UACGAAGGGGGCUAGCGUUGCUCGGAAUCACUGGGCGUAAAGGGUGCGUAGGCGGGUCUUUAAGUCAGGGGUGAAAUCCUGGAGCUCAACUCCAGAACUGCCUUUGAUACUGAGGAUCUUGAGUACGGGAGAGGUGAGUGGAACUGCGAGUGUAGAGGUGAAAUUCGUAGAUAUUCGCAAGAACACCAGUGGCGAAGGCGGCUCACUGGCCCGUAACUGACGCUGAGGCGCGAAAGCCAGGGGAGCAAACGGG